GUAGUUAGCCGGGGCUUCCUCCUUGGCUACCGUCACUUUCUUCGUCACCAAGGACAGAGGUUUACAACCCGAAAGCCUUCUUCCCUCACGCGGCGUUGCUGGGUCAGGCUUGCGCCCAUUGCCCAAUAUUCCCCACUGCUGCCUCCCGUAGGAGUCUGGACCGUGUCUCAGUUCCAGUGUGGCCGUUCAGCCUCUCAGCUCGGCUACCCAUCGUCGACUUGGUGGGCCGUUACCCCGCCAACUAUCUAAUGGGACGCGAACCCCUCCUGAAGCGGAUUGCUCCUUUGACCUCAUCCCGAUGUCGGGUCGUGGUCUUAUGCGGUAUUAGCAACCGUUUCCGAUUGUUAUCCCCCUNUUCAGGGCAGGUUGUUCACGCGUUACUCACCCGUUCGCCACUAAAGUAUCAACCGAAAUCAAUACUUCCGUUCGACUUGCAUGUGUUAAGGCACGCCGCCAGCGUUCGUCCUGAGCCCAGGAACUACCCGUAACCGUACGACGUAGACGGGCCGGUCGGCGAACGGACGGC
rnacentral:rRNA from 1 species